UGUAGCUCAGUGCUAGAGUACUUGCCUAGAAUGUGGGAAGCCCUGGGUUCAAGUCCCAGUA
rnacentral:tRNA from 1 species